GUUGCCUAGAAACAAACAAACAAAAUGUUAAAAUCUAAAGACUGCCCACACAUAGACGGCAUAUUAUGUAAAUAUUGAAGACAGAUUUAGAAACAAAAUAUAUAUUUACAUUGGUACUGUGAUGGGAAAUAUACAACAACGUGAUACAAUUCACACUCUGAGGGAGGAGAAUGCGUACCUACAUCACAGACUGAAAAACCUCACGCAGACACUGCGAGAACUGAGGAAACUGCUUCUGGAUCACUCGCGUGUGUCUACUGUGAAUCAUGAUAGUGACAAGAUACAUGCAUGGAAUGAAUGGAUUAAGAAUGGUAUCAGCGCGGAAACUCAUCUCAUGUUAGAACAAGCUUUCUGCUUACCAGAUCUUCAUGCCAGUGCUAAUUUAUAUUUUCCACAGGAAAUUCUUCUUGUUCUGUCAGGUCUCACUUGGAUUGGGAUACUUUUCAUGUAGAUAUGGACAUAAUAUGCAAAUCCAACAUUCAUCAGGAAAGCUCAGGCUAUAAUUAAAAUGUGUAAAUAUUAAUGUUAAUAGUAAAGUUUAAUUUGUUAACAUUAGUUAACUAACAUUAACAAACAACACUGCUUUCAUAAAUCUUAGUUAAUAUUAAUUUCAACAUUUACUAAUAGAUUUUGAAAACCAAGUUGUAUUUGUUAACAAUAAUUAAUGCACUGUGAGCAAGAAUGAAUUUAUUUUAUUAAUGUUAUAUAUGUUAACUAAUGUAUUACCUAAUGUUAACAUAUGAGACCUUAUUGUGUUACCAUAUAAAUAAAUGAAUAAUGCUUUAACAUUUUAUAUAAUCGUCUCAAUUAAAAAGCAAUGUCCUUGAUUAGUCUGCUGACUUAGGCUUAUUUUAAUAUGCUGAUUUUAAUAUCAGCAUUUUACAUUGAGUCGAUUUAGGUCACAGAACUUUGAGAAAGAAUCAAUAGCUUACUUGAUUAAUAAUACUCAUGACGCUUGGUUAUAAAAUCAUGUGAGGGCGAAUAAAUGAGAUUUGCUUGUGAGAGAACUGUUCACACAAACACUUUCCAGACACUUUUUACAGACAAGGCUUAAGCCUAGUUCCAGACUAAAAUGUAUGUUUGAGCUGUCUUAACUGAAAGCAACUUGCACUGACUUAUCUUAAAAUAUGUCAGUGCCACUGUUUUGCCUCAAAAUGCACACCAGUAAUGUUUUUGUUUUUUUCUUUUUGUUUUUUCUGAAGCACUUUUAUAAAGGCUCCUUAAAUGUCUUAAUUGAACUAAGGCCUAAUCCUGGCUUAAUCUAAGCCCUGUCUGUGAAACCAGGUCUUUAUGUUUAUAUUGAGCUGAGUGUGUCAGGAAUCCAGACACAGCCCACAGCGUUACACUGUGAAUAAUGACUAAAUAUAAAUAAAUAUACAUAACACUUGAUUAUAUGAAUUUGCUGUCUUUAUUAGCUGAUUUGAUGGACAGAUGUGGAUUAAAGAUCAUCCAUGGCAAAAUGUAAAUAAAGAAUAAACCAGCUUGUGGUUCUGCCAAAGAUGUUUUCUCUGUUGGUUCUGUUCAGCACAUGAAGAGGUAGCUUUUCGCUGAUAAUUACUGUAGCAACAUGAAAUGAUUUGGAGCAGACUUUGUGUGUUUGAUGUUCCACACUGCAAAUAUCACAUUAGCCAACAGAAUUGGCCUUUGUUCAGUUAAUUAAAAUCACCCUCUUGCAUAGAUUAGAAAUCAGGCUAUUUGUUCUUAAAUUUACAUCUGAUUGUGCUGAAUUGAUAAAAGAAAUGAAGACGAUUUACAUUUGCAAAGACUUGCUACAAUUUGACUGAAAACACAUGGUAGUUGAUAACUUUCUAUUUAUAUUCCUAAAACUGCAUAUUGUAAAAUCAUUAUUUUUGUUUCUGCUAUCUGACUGUUUACAUUAAAACUUAAGAUCAGAUUCACAGAUAACUUUACUGCAGCUGAACAUAAAGUAAAUGUUGUCAAAAAUUGCCUAUGGGCCAAUUUUUUUUUGUCCAAAGGCCUUAAUAAUAAUAAUAAAAAACAAAGAUAUGAC